AGUCUGUGACGACGAAUAAUUAUACCAUCAAACUUUGAAAGCUUAUGUAUUUAGCUUGUUGAUUCAAAUACAAUUCUCUGACGCC